GCGGGUAUAGUAUAUCGGUAUUACACUGCCUUGCCAAGGCAGAUAGACGGGUUCGACUCCCGUUACCCGCUCCA
rnacentral:tRNA from 1 species